UCUCGAGUACUGGGCGUAAGGGUGUGUAGGGGGUCGGGUAAGUUUGACGUGAAAUCCCGUUGCUCAACAACGGAACUGCGUCGAAUACUGCUCGGCUGGAGGUUCGGAGAUGAGGGCGGAAUUCUCGGUGUAGCGGUGAAAUGCGUAGAUAUCGAGAGGAACGCCGACGGCGAAAGCAGCCCUCAAGACGAAAUCUGACCCUGAAACACGAAGGCCAGGGGAGCAAACGGGAUUAGAUACCCCGGUAGUCCUGGCAGUAAACGGUGCUCAUUAGAUGUAGGCGGAUUCGACCCCGCCUGUGUCGAACCUAACGGAUUAAAUGAGCCGCCUGGGAAGUACGGUCGCAAGAUUAAAACUCAAAGAAAUUGACGGGGGCCCGCACAAGCGGUGGAGUAUGUGGCUUAAUUCGAUGCAACGCGAAGAACCUUACCUGGCCUUGACAUGCUUAGUUCAGGCGUGGAAACACGCUGGCCCGCAAGGGCGAUUUGCACAGGUGCUGCAUGGCUGUCGUCAGCUCGUGUCGUGAGAUGUUGGGUUAAGUCCCGCAACGAGCGCAACCCUCGUGGUUAGUUAUUCCCGGGCAACCGGAAUCUGACCAGACUGCCCUGUGAAACGGGGAGGAAGGUGGGGACGACGUCAAGUCCGUAUGGCCCUUACGGCCAGGGCUGCACACGUACUACAAUGCCCAAUACAGAGGGACGCAAGACCGCAAGGUGGAGCUAAUCCCGUAAAGUUGGGCCCAGUUCGGAUUGGAGGCUGCAACUCGCCUCCAUGAAGUUGGAAUCGCUAGUAAUGGCGCAUCAGCUACGGCGCCGUGAAUACGUUCCCGGGCCUUGUACACACCGCCCGUCACAUCAUGAAGCCGGUCUUACCCAAAGUCGCCCCCGGGUGCCUAAGUAAGGCUGGUGAUUGGGAUGAAGUCGUAACAGGUACCCGU
rnacentral:rRNA from 1 species